GAAGGCGUAGCUCAGCGGUAGAGUGCGUGUUUAGCGUGCACGAGGCCCUGAGUUCAAUCCCCAGUACCUCUG
rnacentral:tRNA from 1 species